rnacentral:lncRNA from 1 species
UCCCGGGGACAACUUUGCAAGGCCAUGUGCUCGUCCUCCUUAGGAAGGAAGAGGGAGAAAUCCCUGCGGCUCGGUUUUGUUCCAAUGGUCUGCUCAGCGAGUGAUUCCCGUUUCCCCAAAGGCUGCCCCUCAUUAGCAUGAACGGGGGUGGGGGUGUGGAGAAGGGGUUGGGGGAGAGAAAGCAAGCAAAAGACCAGGCUCACUUUUAGAGCCUGGGAACCCUGUCUGCAAAAAUGACAGCUAGAGCUUUCUGGCUCCUCUGUUUGAUCGUCGGAUCAUCCCCCGAAGCACCGGUGGCGGAGAGAAAAACCUCGCCGCCGCACAGCAGAAAGCCGGACUCCCGCGGCUGCCCGAGCGCGGAGGAGACACCGGGGCCCCGCGCGCAGCCACUCCUUGAGGCCCCGCAGCGGCCGC